rnacentral:rRNA from 1 species
GUGGGGAAUAUUGGGCAAUGGGCGCAAGCCUGACCCAGCAACGCCGCGUGAAGGAAGAAGGCUUUCGGGUUGUAAACUUCUUUAGACAGGGACGAAACAAAUGACGGUACCUGUAGAAUAAGCCACGGCUAACUACGUGCCAGCAGCCGCGGUAAUACGUAGGUGGCGAGCGUUAUCCGGAUUUACUGGGUGUAAAGGGCGUGUAGGCGGUAAGUCAAGUCAGAUGUGAAAUCUCCCGGCUCAACUGGGAGGGUGCAUCUGAAACUGAUUCACUUGAGUACUGGAGGGGAAAGCGGAAUUCCUAGUGUAGCGGUAAAAUGCGUAGAUAUUAGGAGGAACACCGGUGGCGAAGGCGGCUUUCUGGACAGAUACUGACGCUGAGGCGCGAAAGCGUGGGGAGCAAACAGGA